AUUAAAUGAGACCAUCAAUAAAUUGGACUGCAUGAAAGAAGGCUAUCAGUCUGAUAAAGACAAAUAUUCAGACGUACUUGAAAAUAAUGAUAGACAUUUUACUGACAAAACUCUUCAGAAAACAGAAGAUGACUCCUUUGUUGAAGAGAUUAAAGAAGCUGCUCACAUCUUGUCACAUGUUGAUAAUGGUAAGAUUGAUAUACCUAACUUGAAACAUGCCCUGAAAUGUUUGAAUGCUAAUUUAACAGAGGAGGAUGUCAAUGAAGCCCUUAAACAUUGUGA
rnacentral:lncRNA from 1 species